UGGGGAAUAUUGCACAAUGGGGGAAACCCUGAUGCAGCGACGCCGCGUGAGCGAAGAAGGCUUUCGAGUCGUAAAGCUCUGUCCUAUGAGAAGAUAAUGACGGUAUCAUAGGAGGAAGCCCUGGCUAAAUACGUGCCAGCAGCCGCGGUAAUACGUAUGGGGCGAGUGUUGUCCGGAAUUAUUGGGCGUAAAGGGUACGUAGGCGGUUUUUUAAGUCAGGUGUCAAAGCGUGGAGCUUAACUCCAUUAAGCACUUGAAACUGAAAGACUUGAGUGAAGGAGAGGAAAGUGGAAUUCCUAGUGUAGCGGUGAAAUGCGUAGAUAUUAGGAGGAAUACCGGUGGCGAAGGCGACUUUCUGGACUUUUACUGACGCUCAGGUACGAAAGCGUGGGGAGCAAACAGG
rnacentral:rRNA from 1 species